rnacentral:rRNA from 1 species
UGGGGAAUAUUGGACAAUGGGCGCAAGCCUGAUCCAGCCAUGCCGCGUGAGUGAUGAAGGCCCUAGGGUUGUAAAGCUCUUUCGGCGGGGACGAUAAUGACGGUACCCGCAGAAGAAGCCCCGGCUAACUUCGUGCCAGCAGCCGCGGUAAUACGAAGGGGGCUAGCGUUGUUCGGAAUCACUGGGCGUAAAGCGCACGUAGGCGGAUUGUUAAGUCAGGGGUGAAAUCCCGAGGCUCAACCUCGGAACUGCCCUUGAUACUGGCAAUCUUCGAGUCCGGGAGAGGUGAGUGGAACUCCGAGUGUAGAGGUGAAAUUCGUAGAUAUUCGGAAGAACACCAGUGGCGAAGGCGGCUCACUGGCCCGGUACUGACGCUGAGGUGCGAAAGCGUGGGGAGCAAACA